rnacentral:rRNA from 1 species
AGCAGCCGCGGUAAUUCCAGCUCCAAUAGCGUAUAUUAAAGUUGUUGCAGUUAAAAAGCUCGUAGUUGAAUUUCGGGAUCAAUUUAUCGGUCGUGCCUAUGGUAUGAACUGGUACAAUUGGUUUCUCCCUUCUGACGAAGCAUGAUGUCAUUAAUUUGGUGUCGUGGGGAAUCAGGACUGUUACUUUGAAAAAAUUAGAGUGUUUAAAGCAAGCAUUAGUUUGAAUACAUUAGCAUGGAAUAAUGAAAUAGGACGUUUGAUCCUAUUUCGUUGGUUUCUAGGAUCGACGUAAUGAUUAAUAGGGAUAGUUGGGGGCAUUAGUAUUCAAUUGUCAGAGGUGAAAUUCUUGGAUUUAUUGAAGACUAACUACUGCGAAAGCAUUUGCCAAGGAUGUCUUCAUUAAUCAAGAACGAAAGUUAGGGGAUCGAAGACGAUCAGAUACCGUCGUAGUCUUAACCAUAAACUAUGCCGACUAGGGAUCGGAUGAUGUUAAUUUUUUAAUGACUCA